rnacentral:rRNA from 1 species
GAUGAACGCUGGCGGCGUGCUUAACACAUGCAAGUCGAACGAUUAACCCAAACUUCGGUUUGGUUAUAAAGUGGCGAACGGGUGAGUAACACGUGACCAACCUGCCCCUUAGAUCGGGAUAACUCAAGGAAACUUGAGCUAAUACCGGAUACUCCGAUUACAUCGCAUGGUGUUUUCGGGAAAGCUUUUGCGCUAAGGGAUGGGGUCGCGGCCUAUUAGGUAGUUGGUGGGGUAGAGGCCUACCAAGCCUGCGAUAGGUAGCCGGGUUGAGAGACUGAUCGGCCACAUUGGGACUGAGAUACGGCCCAGACUCCUACGGGAGGCAGCAGUGGGGAAUUUUGCGCAAUGGGGGCAACCCUGACGCAGCAACGCCGCGUGCGGGAUGAAGGUCUUCGGAUUGUAAACCGCUUUCAGUAGGGAAUAUUAUGAAGGUACCUACAGAAGAAGCACCGGCUAAAUACGUGC